UGCAGUGCACACUCGCAGCCAGCCUCCAUGCAGAGGGAGGAGGCUUUGCCACUGCUCGAAAUGAUGAGCCAGCCCAAGUCGACGGCCUCGGGCAGCCCCGGGCAACUCGAAGCGUGCCAAGGCUCUGAGGCUGAGGAACCCGCCCCCCUCUCCUAGGAGUUCGACGCAGGUUGAGUCACUGCUGAAGGAAACUUGUCAGGGCAAGGCAGCCUGCUGGAAUUGCUCCUCGGAGGUCAUGGCUGUUACGUUGCUCUCCAGCAAAUGGGAUUUUUGGCGCGAACCUGGCGUGAGAACGUCUCACAUCUUUGUACUAUCAAGCUGAGUCACUGGGAAAGCAAGACGUAGCAACACAUGGGAGAAUUUCCCACCCAGGAGUUGGUAACCCUACUGGUACAGCCGAUGAACCAAAAGGCGGAACUUGUGCCUUAGGAGGUUUUUCAGUGGUUUGGGAGCUCUUUAUUAGUCCUAAGGGCUAGACCAACUGAACAUUUGGGCCCCCUUCUACUUUUAUGACCAGUGAUUGAUCGCUUUAGUUGGCAAGGAUUUCUACCCCAGAAGGGAGGCUGCUCCACUUUACUCCAAGGGGUCUCGGCUGCAGCCUCUCUACCCUUCCACACGUGCACUGCUGUUGUGAACUGCCGGAACUUUUGCAUCUGUUGAGAGCGGAGCGUUUCCUUUUGUAAGCGAUGCUGAUAACAUCCAGGACCUCUGCGCAGUAACCGAGGGCAAGCACAGCACAAACAUGACGACUCUUAAGAGAGCCUUGCUGAUGGAGAAAAACCGAUGUCAAGCUAAUGCACAACAGCCCGGCUGUAAGCGCUCUGCUCAUCUUGCCAGGAGGAAAUCUGCCUGCGUGAAACAAACAUCGCAACAGGCCUGUGAGCAAUUACAGGACCACAAAUUGCUGAAAGUCUUGCACGCACGUUUCAGACAUGAGCGGUCCAACUCACUAAUGCGGACAAGCGACUGCAGCACCUCCCAGUCACCCUUUCCUCCGACAGCCGCAGGAGGCGAGAAGGCCGUUGCUGCCAGGCAGAGACGGGAGGAACCAAGAGAAUACUUCCUCUCCCAGGAGAUCCCGAGUGGCUCCGUCUUUUAAAACUACAGUUCCCGGGUAAAACUGCGUCACCCGACAUGUUAAAGGACACGUGCCGGGCAUCCCGUUUAGCUUGGCCCUCGCUGUGAAAACACAGGGCCAUGAGUGAGGUGCAUAAUCCCACCUGUCACCAGAGCCUGGGACAGGCUGCCAGAGGCGGUUUUACAUUUUUUAUAAAGGGAGAUGAAAAGAACGCCUUUGAGCAGUGGUCUUCAGACCAUCAGUUGGGCACCUCAGGUGGGCUAUUUUUCUGCUUCCUCGAGGGAUGGGGCUGCUGUUGGCACACAUGCACUAAGAGAGAAGGUACCACAUAACCUGCCUCGUUUCGCACACAUUUUGAGAGGAGCUGCAGGAUGGGAAGGUACGGACGCCCCGUGGUGGAGAGAGGACUCUUUUGAGCAUAGGCAGGUUGGAUACUGGAUCUUUCCCUCAUGGAGACCAUUAAGAGGAAGUGAUUUUUUUCCUGAUACAAAUAUGCAAGUCACCAGGGUUUUAGACUCAGGGUCAUUUCUAAGUCUUAAGCAAUCCCUUCCCCAUCCUGCUCCUCCCCUCUAGCACACAAAGCCCCCCCCCACACACACACACUUUUACACGCGGAUGCUCAAGUGCAGGGAGACUCAGUGUUAAGCGGGAAGCAUAGUUUUAAAAGACAGAGCUGGCAGAGAUCACUCCUCAGAGGAUUUGAUAAUUUCAUCUUCACCUAGGGGAGGAGGUGAAAUUGACAGAGCUUUCCAGGAGGAAAAGAUGAAAUGAACAAAUCCUCUGAGGAGCUCUCUCUCCAGCUCUGUCUUUUUAAACUACCCUUCUGUAGAGAGGUGAAACUGACAGAGCCUUAGGGGAGGCGAAGAUGAAAUUAAUAAACCCUCUGAGGAGCGAUCUCCGCUGGCUCUGUCUUUUUAAACUACCCUCCUGUAGAGAGGUGAAAUUGACAGAGCCUUUGGCUCUAUCUUAGAUUCAGCCAUAUAUGAGUGUUCUCAACCCAGGUCAAAAAGGAACCCGCCAACUCUCUCCAGCUACAGAGCUUUGACUAAAACUAGGCUUUCAGCUUUCAGUUUGUGAGCUAUGACUAAAACUAGGCUAUCGCUGGCUGGCUGUCAAAUGCUAAUACCGCUGCAUGACGUCUACCAAAGAACAUGCAAAACCCGCCACUUUUCAAACACUCUUCCAUAGCAACUGGCCAGCUGCAAACAUUAAACCAGGUAUUGCCAAAUAUUAGAUCUGAGAAAUGAUUAGCAAAUCUUGGUCUGCUACCAAAUUUCUGCAGAUUUCAGAAGAGAAAAUUCUCAGUUAUUUAAACAAUGCAGGAAAUAUUAAACCCAUCAAACCCAAGGCAACAUCUGGAGAUCAAAUUUCAAAGCAAGAGGGCCAUUAGCUCCCAAGCUACCACAGCUAAACAUUCAGGUCCCAGGGAAAUAUGAAGUUCAUAAGAAAGAUUUUUUUUUUGCCAGUUUGUAUGCCAAAGAAGGCAUUUCAAUGUCAUCAAAGCCUCUCUUUAUGGUUUUUACAGAGGGGUGUGUGAUUCAGUAUAUUCAAUCAGAAAAUACACCCCCAAAAAUACUUUACUGGUAUUUUGGGGUAUAUUUGGGAAUCCCUAUCAUAUCUUGGAUUCCUGAGUAAGGUGUUAGGUCUACUCUGAGAAAGCUUUUUGCGGCAGCAUGCAUGCCUGAACAACACAGGCAGGUAGCCCUUCCAAAGUGAUUGCUAAAACACACACAAAAAGAGAAAAAAAUCUGCAAUGGUAUCAUUCUCUGACAUAAAAACAAAGCCCACCUUUUAGUAAGCUUAUCAGCCCUUAUAUCUCCUUGAUUUCUACUUCUGUUUUGAUAGGAGGUGGUGGCAGCUUCAAGCAUAGACACCUUCAAGAGGGGAUUAGAUAAACAUAUGGAGCAGAGGUCCUUCAGUGGCUAUUAGCCACAAGGUAUAGAUGGCACUCUCUGUCUAGGGCGGUGAUGCUCUGUAUUCUUGGUGUUUGGGGGGGGCAAUCAGUGGGAGGGCUUCUAGUGUCCCUUCCCCACUGGCAGACCUCCUGAGGACACCUGGUUUUUUGGCCACUGUGUGACACAGAGUUUUGGACUGGGUGGGCCAUUGGCCUGAUCCAACAUGGCUUCUC